rnacentral:lncRNA from 1 species
UUUACAACGAAGCUUGAAACCAGUCAAGCAUGUUUAUUAUUUUAAAAAAAAGAAAAGUCUAAUGGUAUAUAGUCUCUACAUGCUACGGCUAGGUGUUUACCCCCUGCCCCCUCACAUUAAACACUCACAGGAAAUAAAAGCCACCAUCAGGACCUGUCAGUUGACCUAGGGGGUGUGAGAAGAACUGAGAACCCAGGGGUCCCCAGCACCAGCCGUGGGCACACAAAUACAAUGGACCACGCGCUGCCUAGAGCCCACUGUUUCUGGAGGGGUUAGAAGCAACCUAGCUCCUCAGUGGCCCUGAAACGGGAGCCAUGUAUGGCUAAGGUGGCCACAGUUUAUCACACUCCCUGGUAUGUAAGAGAGGCGCUGCUCAUAAUUACAGGGCAUAAAGGCAUUGCAGGCAUAGUAUGGGCACCUCCAUUGCAAUAGAAUUGCUUAUUGCUGUAGUAAGCCUGGUGGGGCACCUUUGCUCUUAAAAGCAUAGAAGUGAGGGUGAAGGCCACUGGCGAUGAUGACACCGGGUCUGGUCUUUUGAAGGACAAAAGCUAAGCCCUCAUUCUGGCGGGAGCUAAGGGGGUUUACUUGGGGGAGGAGUGCGGAGAUAGGGAAGAAGAUGGGACACUCACAUAUGAGGGGCUCGGUACCUCAACUAGAUAGCACCGGGGACCAGGCAUCACUCCCCAGAGCAGGGAGAUGUGGUCUGUGAGGGCGGCCGCUCAGCAAGUGGCCCAUGAGCAGGUGAGGAGUGUGAACCAUUGUCUUAACUGUACAGCUGUAUUUGGGGUCAGGUCAAUCCUGCCGCUAGAACCUUAGCAAGUUAGGAACAGUCCUUCCAGGCAAAGGCAGAUCCUGGGGCCUUGAUAAAA